rnacentral:rRNA from 1 species
CAAGUCGAACGGGUGUAGCAAUACACAGUGGCGAACGGCGGAGUAAUACAUAAGCAACGUGCCCUGAAGACUGGGAUAGUCAGAGGAAACUCUGGGUAAUACCAGAUGUGGCCGUCACCCCGCAUGGGGAGACGAUUAAAUGGAUUUUCGCUUCAGGAGCGGCUUAUGGCCUAUCAGGUAGUUGGUGGGGUAAUGGCCUACCAAGCCGACGACGGGUAGCGGGUCUGAGAGGAUGAUCCGCUCGAGUGGGACUGAGACACGGCCCACACACCUACGGGUGGCAGCAGUUGGGAAUCUUGCACAAUGGGGGAAACCCUGAUGCAGCGACGCCGCGUGGAGGAUGAAGGAUCUAGGUCUGUAAACUCCUUUUUCAGGGAAAGACUUAGGACGGUACCCUGAGAAUAAGGACCGGCUAACUACGUGCCAGCAGCCGCGGUAAGACGUAGGGUCCAAGCGUUGUCCGGAUUUACUGGGCGUAAAGAGCUCGUAGGCGGCUCGUUAAGUGUGAAGCUAAAUCUCCAGGCUCAACCUGGAAACUAUUUCGCAUACUGGCGAGCUAGAGUGAUGCAGAGGUUUGUGGAAUUCCUGGUGUAGCGGUGAAAUGCGUUGAUAUCAGGAGGAACACCCAUGGCGAAGGCAGCAAACUGGGCAUCAACUGACGCUGAGGAGCGAAAGCGUGGGUAGCAAACAGGAUUAGAUACCCUGGUAGUCCACGCCCUAAACGAUGGAUACUAGGCGUAAGAGGUAUCGACCCCUCUUGUGCCGCAGCUAACGCAUUAAGUAUCCCGCCUGGGGAGUACGGCCGCAAGGUUGAAACUCAAAUGAAUUGACGGGGACCCGCACAAGCGGUGGAGCAUGUGGAUUAAUUCGAUACUAACCCGAAGAACCUUACCC